rnacentral:rRNA from 1 species
GCUGGCGGCAUGCCUAAUACAUGCAAGUCGAGCGAACAGAUGAAGUGCUUGCACUUCUGACGUUAGCGGCGAACGGGUGAGUAACACGUAAGGAAUCUACCUAUAAGCGGGGGAUAACAUUCGGAAACGGGUGCUAAUACCGCAUAAUAUCUUCUUCCGCAUGGAAGAAGAUUGAAAGACGGCUCUGCUGUCACUUAUAGAUGACCUUGCGGUGCAUUAGUUAGUUGGUGGGGUAACGGCCUACCAAGACGAUGAUGCAUAGCCGACCUGAGAGGGUGAUCGGCCACAUUGGGACUGAGACACGGCCCAAACUCCUACGGGAGGCAGCAGUAGGGAAUCUUCCGCAAUGGGCGAAAGCCUGACGGAGCAAUGCCGCGUGAGUGAAGAAGGCCUUCGGGUCGUAAAACUCUGUUAUAAGAGAAGAACAAAUUGUAGAGUAACUGCUACAGUCUUGACGGUAUCUUAUCAGAAAGCCACGGCUAACUACGUGCCAGCAGCCGCGGUAAUACGUAGGUGGCAAGCGUUGUCCGGAUUUAUUGGGCGUAAAGGGAGCGCAGGUGGUUUCUUAAGUCUGAUGUGAAAGCCCACGGCUUAACCGUGGAGGGUCAUUGGAAACUGGGAAACUUGAGUACAGAAGAGGAAUGUGGAGCUCCAUGUGUAGCGGUGGAAUGCGUAGAUAUAUGGAAGAACACCAGUGGCGAAGGCGACAUUCUGGUCUGUUACUGACACUGAGGCUCGAAAGC